rnacentral:rRNA from 1 species
UACAGAGGGUGCAAGCGUUAUCCGGAUUCACUGGGUUUAAAGGGUGCGUAGGUGGGCAGGUAAGUCAGUGGUGAAAUCUCUGGGCUUAACCCGGAAACUGCCAUUGAUACUAUCUGUCUUGAAUACCGUGGAGGUUAGCGGAAUAUGUCAUGUAGCGGUGAAAUGCUUAGAUAUGACAUAGAACACCAAUUGCGAAGGCAGCUGGCUACACGAAUAUUGACACUGAUGCACGAAAGCGUGGGGAUCAAACAGG